rnacentral:lncRNA from 1 species
GCAAUGAGGAAACGGGGUUGAACAAAACCCGCAGUGUGUUCAUCAGUGGGCAAGAUACUACUUGUUAGCUUCGGGGAAAGUGUCCUUUGUUUAUGGUUGAAGGGUUGGAGUCAUGAGGAGUGCAGAACGAGACUUUGCCCAACACUUUCUUCUUACACUCCGCUCAUAUACAGCAACUUCUCAAAGAAGACAAAAAUGAAGAGCGGAAUAAAGAUGUUAGUCAUGGCUUUUUUAAUCUUUCUUCUGAAUUCAGGCAACAUCAAAGAGCAUUGCACUGGAGACUUCUCCUACGAGAUGCCUGGACCUCAGCAACUGCAGUGUCGCUUUACAGGUGUGUACCCGGAGGGCGCUAUACACUGGUUUCAACAUGACAGGAAUUUGACCUCCAUUGCUACACUGUCAAUCCUGAAUAACCCAGAUGGAACCUUCAACAUCACAAGUGUUAUAGACCGUCAGGACGAUCACGACAGAUAUAAGUGCUCAUUGUGGUCAUUAAAACAGGGUCGAUACCUUGCAGAUCAAGAGUUCAAAGUGCACGUUGAUGCUGAUUCCAGUCGUUUAAGCAAGAGCGCCACACAACACUGUUUCUCAUGGACUCCUCUACUUCAAGGCCUCUUGUUUGUCUCUAUAAGAUCAAUAAGUCAACUAAACUACUAUUAA